rnacentral:rRNA from 1 species
GACGAACGCUGGCGGCGUGCUUAACACAUGCAAGUCGAACGGAAAGGCCCUGCUUGCAGGGUACUCGAGUGGCGAACGGGUGAGUAACACGUGGGUGAUUUGCCCUGCACUUCGGGUUAAGCCUGGGAAACUGGGUCUAAUACCGGAUAGGAGCCAUUUUUAGUGUGAUGGUUGGAAAGUUUUUUCGGUGUAGGAUGAGCUUGCGGCCUAUCAGCUUGUUGGUGGGGUAAUGGCCUACCAAGGCGGCGACGGGUAGCCGGCCUGAGAGGGUGGACGGCCACAUUGGGACCGAGGUGCGGCCCAGGCUCGUACGGGAGGGAGCAGUGGGGAAGAUUGCACAAUGGGCGCAGGCCGGGUGCAGCAGCGCCGCGGGUGGGAUGACGGCCUUCGGGUUGUAGACUCCUUGCGCUAGGAACGAAGCUUUUUGUGACGGUACCUAGAUAAGAAGCACCGGCUAACUACGUG